rnacentral:sRNA from 1 species
GCCAGGCACAGUGGCAAGUGCUUGUAGUCCCAGCUACUCAGGAGGCUGAGGUGGAAGGAUUACUUGAGCUCACAAGUUGGAGAUGAGCCUGGGCAACAUAGUGAGGCCCUGUCUCAA